AAAGUGCGAUAACUAGUGUGAAUUGCAUAUUCAGUGAAUCAUCGAGUCUUUGAACGCAACUUGCGCUCAUUGGUAUUCCAAUGAGCACGCCUGUUUCAGUAUCAAAACAAACCCUCUAUCCAACUUUUGUUGAAUAGGAUGACUGAGAGUCUCUUGAUCUAUUCUGAUCUUGAACCUCUUGAAAUGUACAAAGGCCUGAUCUUGUUUGAAUGCCUGAACUUUUUUUUAAUAUAAAGAGAAGCUCUUGCGAUAAAACUGUGCUGGGGCCUCCCAAAUAACACAUCUUUAAAUUUGAUCUGAAAUCAGGUGGGAUUACCCGCUGAACUUAA
rnacentral:misc_RNA from 1 species